rnacentral:rRNA from 1 species
AGCGAACGCUGGCGGCAGGCCUAACACAUGCAAGUCGAACGAACUCUUCGGAGUUAGUGGCGGACGGGUGAGUAACACGUGGGAACGUGCCUUUUGGUUCGGAAUAACUCAGGGAAACGUGUGCUAAUACCGAAUGUGCCCUUCGGGGGAAAGAUUUAUCGCCAUUAGAGCGGCCCGCGUCUGAUUAGCUAGUUGGUGAGGUAACGGCUCACCAAGGCGACGAUCAGUAGCUGGUCUGAGAGGAUGACCAGCCACACUGGGACUGAGACACGGCCCAGACUCCUACGGGAGGCAGCAGUGGGGAAUCUUGCGCAAUGGGCGAAAGCCUGACGCAGCCAUGCCGUGUGAAUGAUGAAGGUCUUAGGAUUGUAAAAUUCUUUCACCGGGGACGAUAAUGACGGUACCCGGAGAAGAAGCCCCGGCUAACUUCGU